rnacentral:rRNA from 1 species
UACGAAGGGUGCAAGCGUUACUCGGAAUUACUGGGCGUAAAGGGUGCGUAGGCGGUCGGGUAAGUCUGAUGUGAAAUCUCACAGCUUAACUGUGAAACUGCAUUGGAUACUAUCCGGCUAGAGGAAUGGAGGGGAGACUGGAAUACUUGGUGUAGCAGUGAAAUGCGUAGAUAUCAAGUGGAACACCAGUGGCGAAGGCGAGUCUCUGGACAUUUCCUGACGCUGAGGCACGAAAGCCAGGGGAGCAAACGGG